UGAAAGAUUCUUCUGAGGUUGUUCUGUCAUCUUGGACAUGCAGAUUUCCACCGCAGCUUGGUGUUUCAUCUCAUGGCUAUGGAUUUUUAACAUAGUUUUAGUCAAAUAUGUCUAUUGAGAAGCUUUUUCAGAAGACAGCUUUUCAGUCUCUCUUCCGUAUAAGACAACCCCCCAACACAGGGCACAUUGCGUCAGGCGUUUGUUCCAGUCACCAGUUUGUAUCUGAAUGGAGCAGACAUGUUUAUCAUGAGGACAGACCGGCAGAUAGAAUUCUCUUUGAAAGAAAAUCAAACUGGAUCUUUUCAACGGGCUAUUUCAUAUCUAAUUUCAGAUGAGUCUAUAUUAUAUUUCUUAAGAUAUGUAGAUACUUUCCAUUACCAAAGGAUAUUGUCAGAGGGCUGAAUGAAGUGCAGAGCCUUUAACUUUCGGAGCUCCCAUCCGUCUCACGGUCACACCAAUUGGAUCGCCGACUCCUCCGGGUUUUUUGUCCAUCCUGUCCCCUUUGAAGGGCAAAGAACAGGAUAACAAGGUCAAAGAACAGGAUAUUUGUUUGGCCGGCGGGUUCUUUC